UCGUUCUAUCUCGUUUCUAGAUCGAAAUUGAUUCCGUUUGAUCCCGGAGAUUCUAGACUCGUAUAUCUACGUUUCCCUAUCUCGGUUUUGCAAAACGACCCGUCGACUGUUCGUACUUCAGAGGCGAACCAGAGUUAGAUUGCUUGUCAGGAUCACGUGGAUUUAGCAAGCAGUUUAUGAUUUGAGCUUUGGUCGAUCUCCGUUUCUUCAUUCUCGGGGGUUUUUAUUUUAUUUUCAGAAUAAAAGAGUCGAACUGUUUUAAACUCUUAGACCGCAGUA